AGAGUUUGAUCCUGGCUCAGGAUGCUUUCUAGCGGCAGGCUUAACACAUGCAAGUUGAGGGGCAGCGGGGAGGAAGCUUGCUUUCUCCGCCGGCGACCGGCGCACGGGUGAGUAACACGUAUGCAACCUGCCCCUGUCAGGGGGACAACCCGCCGAAAGGCGGGCUAAACCCGCGUACAUGCCACCGGGGCAUCCCGGAGGCAGGAAAGGCUUCGGCCGGACAGGGAUGGGCAUGCGGCGCAUUAGGCAGUAGGCGGGGUAACGGCCCACCUAACCGACGAUGCGUAGGGGUUCUGAGAGGAAGGUCCCCCACACUGGUACUGAGACACGGACCAGACUCCUACGGGAGGCAGCAGUGAGGAAUAUUGGUCAAUGGUCGGGAGACUGAACCAGCCAAGCCGCGUGAGGGAGGAAGGUACAGAGUAUCGUAAACCUCUUUUGUCAGGGAACAAAGGCGGGGACGUGUCCCCGGAUGAGUGUACCUGAAGAAAAAGCAUCGGCUAACUCCGUGCCAGCAGCCGCGGUAAUACGGAGGAUGCGAGCGUUAUCCGGAUUUAUUGGGUUUAAAGGGUGCGCAGGCGGAGGUGCAAGUCAGCGGUCAAAUUGCGGGGCUCAACCCCGUACUGCCGUUGAAACUGCAUCCCUUGAGUGCGCGAGAAGUAUGCGGAAUGCGUGGUGUAGCGGUGAAAUGCAUAGAUAUCACGCAGAACUCCGAUUGCGAAGGCAGCAUACCGGCGCGCAACUGACGCUCAUGCACGAAAGCGUGGGUAUCGAACAGGAUUAGAUACCCUGGUAGUCCACACAGUAAACGAUGAAUACUAAUUGUUCGGGGAGAAUGAUCCCUGAGUGAUACAGCGAAAGCGUUAAGUAUUCCACCUGGGGAGUACGCCGGCAACGGUGAAACUCAAAGGAAUUGACGGGGGCCCGCACAAGCGGAGGAACAUGUGGUUUAAUUCGAUGAUACGCGAGGAACCUUACCCGGGCUCAAACGACACAGGAACGGUCCUGAAAGGGGUCGGCUCUACGGAGCCUGUGUCGAGGUGCUGCAUGGUUGUCGUCAGCUCGUGCCGUGAGGUGUCGGCUUAAGUGCCAUAACGAGCGCAACCCCCAUCGACAGUUGCUAACAGGUUAGGCUGAGGACUCUGUCGAGACUGCCGGCGCAAGCUGCGAGGAAGGCGGGGAUGACGUCAAAUCAGCACGGCCCUUACGUCCGGGGCGACACACGUGUUACAAUGGCAGGUACAGCGGGAAGCCACCUGGCGACAGGGAGCGGAACCCGAAAGCCUGUCUCAGUUCGGAUUGGAGUCUGCAACCCGACUCCAUGAAGCUGGAUUCGCUAGUAAUCGCGCAUCAGCCACGGCGCGGUGAAUACGUUCCCGGGCCUUGUACACACCGCCCGUCAAG
rnacentral:rRNA from 1 species